rnacentral:rRNA from 1 species
GAUGAAUGCUGGCGGUGUGCCUAAUACAUGCAAGUCGAGCGAAUGGAUUAAGAGCUUGCUCUUAUGAAGUUAGCGGCGGACGGGUGAGUAACACGUGGGUAACCUGCCCAUAAGACUGGGAUAACUCCGGGAAACCGGGGCUAAUACCGGAUAACAUUUUGAACCGCAUGGUUCGAAAUUGAAAGGCGGCUUCGGCUGUCACUUAUGGAUGGACCCGCGUCGCAUUAGCUAGUUGGUGAGGUAACGGCUCACCAAGGCAACGAUGCGUAGCCGACCUGAGAGGGUGAUCGGCCACACUGGGACUGAGACACGGCCCAGACUCCUACGGGAGGCAGCAGUAGGGAAUCUUCCGCAAUGGACGAAAGUCUGACGGAGCAACGCCGCGUGAGUGAUGAAGGCUUUCGGGUCGUAAAACUCUGUUGUUAGGGAAGAACAAGUGCUAGUUGAAUAAGCUGACACCUUGACGGUACCUAACCAGAAAGCCACGGCUAACUACGUACCAGCCGCCGCGGUAA